ACGAACGCUGGCGGCGUGCUUAACCCAUGCCAGUCGAACGGAAAGGCCCUGCUUUUGUGGGGUGCUCGAGUGGCGAACGGGUGAGUAACACGUGAGUAACCUGCCCUUGACUUUGGGAUAACUUCAGGAAACUGGGGCUAAUACCGGAUAGGAGCUCCUGCUGCAUGGUGGGGGUUGGAAAGUUUCGGCGGUUGGGGAUGGACUCGCGGCUUAUCAGCUUGUUGGUGGGGUAGUGGCUUACCAAGGCUUUGACGGGUAGCCGGCCUGAGAGGGUGACCGGCCACAUUGGGACUGAGAUACGGCCCAGAUUCCUACGGGAGGCAGCAGUGGGGAAUAUUGCACAAUGGGCGGAAGCCUGAUGCAGCAACGCCGCGUGCGGGAUGACGGCCUUCGGGUUGUAAACCGCUUUCGCCUGUGACGAAGCGUGAGUGACGGUAAUGGGUAAAGAAGCACCGGCUAACUACGUG
rnacentral:rRNA from 1 species